UGAGAGCUCCUUCAUCUUAUGUUUUAUCGUUUCAGUUUAUUCUUUGAUUUCAUUCCUCUUUGUGUGCAUCAAGUAGAGUCAAAGGCUGCAAUGCAGAGUUUGAUCUGCCUUUCCAAGGCUGCCAUUGUUGAAUGGCUGGGGUGAUAUAACAUACUGGGUAAAUGGGAGAAGACAGGCAACAUGUUCCAUGGGGAGGAGGGAAGUGAACUGGGAAUGACGGCCUGAAUGAUGGCCUUAGCUUCAUAAUAGCACAGAUACUGAAAUAAAGAUGAAAAUGUAACAAAAUAAGUGCAUGGACAGUUUAGAAUGUAUGUAAAUUGCUUUUUAA